UUUCUCUCUUUCAUUUUAGUCUCUCUGUCUCUCUCCCUCGCAUUGUUCUACUCCGCGGCAGCGCCGCUCUCUGUCUCUCUCUUUCACGUGUCCUGCCUCUCCAUGUUGCCGCCCUCGUCGGCUUGCCCCACCCCUUCGUCUCUCAGUCUCCCUCAUCUCCUCUUUCGAAGCACCGCUGCCUUCGCCGACUCGCCCAGCCUUAUGGGCGACUACUAAAAUAUUUAGCGGAAACUUCGUCUUCUUCACUUCCUAUCGCCUCCUCUGCAUACACACGGAACAGAGAAGAAGCAUCCUCAUUACCUUGGGCCAAUUGCUCUUUUCUGCCUAAUUUGGGCGAAAGAUCUUA
rnacentral:lncRNA from 1 species